GAAUUAAAGCAGGCUCUGAUAUAUUAAUUACAACGAUUAGGCCUAGCUACCAGACCCAAUACUAGAAAAUCUCAAUCUUGCUUUUAGGUUUGUCUAGUAAACAUAUUUGCUUUUUAUGUGCAUUGUUGUGAAUUUUACGGGAAUGUUGAUGUUAUUUCUGUAAUAAGACGACGAAGAUUUCAUUGGUUUUGGAGAAUUUGAGAAAAAGAUCUUUGAAAGCCAAUGAACGUUCGCUUAACCCCCAAACAAUACCUAUGUUCGUGAAGAAGUUCAAAUAAAGACUCUCAUUUUUAACAUGUGCUAUCCGUGCUAUCCGUGAUGCGGCCCUUGCGGCGGCUGCUGUUCCCCAUGCUGCGGCGGAUGCUGCUAUCCCUCUUGCCAACCAUGCUGGUCGUGCUGUAGUGGUUGUGGACCAUGUUGUGGUGGAUGUGGACCCUGCUGUUAGAACUUCUUCAGAACGAAACUUAGGUCCUACACAAUCUCAUUGUACAAAGUAACCAACAUAACCAAUGUAAAUUCAUGUAUUCCUACACAUGCAUAUGAUAACUACAUAUGUAUAAAUAUAUGGAGUAACGUCUGCAAUAAUA